UGCGUAUUGUUUCUGCAAAAAAACUGUUGUUGUCCUGGACUGGUGUUUCUGUGUUGCCUAUUUAGAAGUCGGUGUGGGCAAUCCAUGGACAGGAAACCACUCUUGCAAAAGGGCCAUCAUUCCCUGCCUGCCUAAUCUACGGCUGCUAACAAGAAUGACAGUAACAAAACCAGGGAGUAACAGCCUUCUCUGGCCCUUUGCUUUCUCUCUGCCAGAUGGGCACUCUGGCAGCAUAUAAAGGAGUCUUCAUCAGCUAAUGGCAGACUCAGCUGGAGCAGUGCGGCAGACCUGUGGUUAUAUACUGGGGCCAGAGAACCUUUGGAAGUAUCGUGCUGCAGCAGGCCAUGUUCCCUAGAGUGGGAUCUGAGAGGAUAUGGGAAGACUGGUGGUGUGUCUGCCUUAAGAAAUACACAAAUCAAUAUACAAAAGGAAACUUUGUAUGCUGUCAGUUGGUAUCUACGUCCAGUAAGAAAUGAGAAAGUAGGGGUGUCUGUAUUUCUGAUGACCCAGCUUUUUGGUAAGAGGAAAACUGCAUUCACAGAGGAACAUUGUGAUUCAGAACUUUUAACAAUGAAGUAGCACAGGAAGUAAUAAGCCUGAUUUGGAAAGUUAUUGUCUGGGUGCUGUGUUUGCAUAAAGCAAAUAGCAUGAACCUGCAUUGUCCAGUGUUGGAGGAAAAAAAAAACCUUCACAGAAAAGGAAGGUAGUUUGCUCUUGUGAGUCAUCAGGAGCUGGGUGCUAAAGGAAGGAGACGUUCCUGAGGUAAAAGUUUCUGGUAUGGGGAGAAGCAGUACUUUACUGUGGGUAUGGUUCCACUAGGAAAUUAGGUAUGUGCCCUGUUUUUGUGUUCUAAGGAGGCUGUGCUCCCUGGUAGAACGAUAGUGACAGUUUGUUGCAAUGUUUCAGGUUGAUUUAGCCACUUCAAGCUCUAUACCUGGUGUUUGAGUUUAAAGAAGUUUGAAUUUGGUUAAAAGUCUACGACUUUUCCCUACAAACAAUGGUUAGGUUCUGGGCCAGGUACAUCCCUAAUCCAAAGGUGCCUUCUGUGAACGCCUCUGAAAUUUCUGGUUCACAGCUGUUUUCUCAGGAAUUGUUUUGUAUCCUGCUGGUCUACAGUUACAGGAACUUUAGUAUUAUGUGGUUUUUCAAGGAAAAAAACCUAUGGUGAAGGAACACUCAGAAAAGCACCCAGCUUCUCUGCAUGGUCCUUUGAGGAGCUCUACUGCAAGAAAACAAAAAUGUUACACCUGAAUGGAGUGGUAUUUUUCUAAUGGGUCUUAAUGCUUUACCAUCUGGUUUGCCUGCCGAUUUUAGCUGUGAAGGGAUGUUUGGUGUGAGCACCCCAUUUCAUCACCUAGGAGGGUCACCACAUGGUAUAACAAUGCAUGGUAUAUAUUAUAACCUUUUGUUGACUUCUAUGCCCCUGUCACUCUAGAAUAUAUUUUGAGUAGGAAUAGCCAAUUUAGACUACUCCCUUGCCCUCUCCAAGGUCUGCUGCAAAGCAAAUGUCUCCCUGCUCAGACUCAACCCUGAGAGGGCCCCCACCUCCAGCAGAAAUGUCCCGGGACCCGUGCCGCGACCUCCAACUAAAUGUGUAGCAGUGGUUUGUCCUUCAAGUGUGAAGCCAGUAAGGACUCUCUACCACAGUUUUUGAACACAUUUCCAAGUAUGGCAGGGUUCAGUGGCAGGCACAUAAUAGGGCUUUUGGCAUGUAUUAUACUGUGCUCAACAACUCCACUCUCUGAUCCAAACAUGCCCACCAAAAAUAACUUCAGUGAACAGCUUUUAUUUUAAUUAUUCCAGUGUGGAACUCAUGAAGUUUUGCCAAAAAUCUGGCUUGUAAAGCUUUUUGUACCUAAGCACAGAAACCCCUAGUGUGUAGUUAAUCCCCCACUGGGAUUUUCCUGAUCCAGUCACAGGUCUAUUCUGCAACCUCAUCUUUCUUUACCUAUCACUUGCUCUCUCUGUUCACCCUACCAGCUCCUUGAAUUCUUGCCCUUUCUUGGCUUCUGUGACUGUUCUUUCCCAGCUAUCUCCUCUAAUUUUCUCUUUUAUUGUUCAACUCCACAUUUAAUGGUGGAUGGUGUUUUUUGGUGGUUCCACAGUAUUCCUGAUCUCUGCAAGGAUUUCAGUGACAUCAGUGUGUGGACUCCUCUCUCCUCCCUUUAUUCUCUCUGUCCAACCUAUUACAUGGCAUAAUAACCAAAAAACUUCACUUUUGCCAGUGACUUGCAAACUUGCCUUUUCCUAGAUGAUCUGUUUCAUUUCAUCACUGAGGCUCUUUUCUUCCAGUCUCCUUCCCUUCUUCCCCAUGUAACACAUGUGUAUACAUUUAUAUGUAAAAGUCAUAAAGCCAACAUAAGAAAAAGGGAUGUCUCUGUGGUGUGGUGGGACAAGCUACUGGGCUCUGCAGAACACUUCCAGUGCCUGAGAGGGCUGACUAUGGUAGUUACUCUCUCAUCUCUAUGCUGGAUUAUUUAUUUAACCUUUUCUUCAUCAAACCCUAAUUUGCUUUGUGGGGAAAUGCAAUUUAGGAUAUUGGUAUUUAAAAAAGUACUUGCUGUUAUUUUGUAAAUAACCUCAGAUAGUUAAUAAAGUGUCCCUCUAAGAAUAUUAAAUGUGAACAAGAAAAACAAAAAAGGUUUGAUAUGAUGUUCAGUUUUGUUGGGCUCAUUUCUUAAGCAUGCCAAAAGAGAAGGAAGAGGAGGAACUCUCUAGGGCAGGAUACUAUAGCAUGAUAGUUUUCAGCACAGGUGGGGAAAAUACAGGUUCAAGUGCCUGGAGGGAAGUGAGCCCGGCUCUCAGGCAGGCUGAGGGAGUGCUCUGGUUGUAACUCAAUUGCUGAAAGCAAGUCUGGCAGCAACAGCACCCACUUUAGUGUUUUGGUGGAGGAGGUCUGGCUAGCAUUGGAGGAGGAUGGUAAUCCCUGCAUUGAGAUAGGUGACCAAAUUCCAGAGAGGUUUAAGCUAAUUCUAAUACCUUCUGCAUUUCCCAAUGGCUCGCUUGAGCAGCUCCUGCUCAGUCUUCUGUUUGGGAUGCCUGUAUUCUCUGCUUCCCAAACCUCUGGAUCCCAGCUUGCAAGCACACUCCUGGAAGUCAGGAGAUGUGGUUUUCAGCCAUGUAGGGCUUGAACAUUGCUUGUGUCCAGAACAAAAUAUUUGUCUGUAUUUAUGUAAAUGCUUAGCUUUACAGGGUCUAUGCUUGCUUACCUUGAUAAGUGCUGCUAAAAAUAACAAUAUGGACAUUGUGACAUUUAUGUGCAGCAUUCAUAUAACAUUUGUUGCAACAUCUAUAACACCAUGCUGGAAUUUAUGGAGCAAAACCAUGGGGAAUGUCUUUGCACUAGCUAGGAACAGACAAGACAUAUAUUUUUGAAAGAACCCCUUUGCAUUUAGGAUACUUUCAAACUGCUGCUUACUAGCAUUUGACUCAACCUGAAACACAGUAUAUAAUACUAGCAUUUUCAUUUUGUCUCACAUUUGGACUGUGCUCUGGUUCUGCUACUGUAAGUUUCUGUGCCUAUGGAGUGGGGAAUAUGAAAUUGGGGAUUUUCGAAGGUCUGAAGGUCCUUCAGUGUCAAAUUACUUUUGGAAUUCUACUUCAGCACUUCCAUAGGGCCCCAAGUAUUCUUGGCAGUUUACAAUAGUCCUUGUCCCAAAGCAUUUAAAAUACAUUUCAGAUGUGCUGAGAAUAAUAAAUCUAGAAGAAGGGAGAAAGAAGGAAUGCAAUAAUCCAGGAUAUAGUUAGUGUAUCAGUGAUUAUAUGGGUACACUUUAAUUUAUUUUUAAGGCUUAGAUAGAAGGACACUUCACUUUUAAUUAUUUUUAAUUGACUUGCAUUGUGACAGCGUAAGGAAUGUUUCUAGAAAUCGUAUUUGAAUUAGAGGGUUUCAUAUGAACUCUGUUUUUGAAAGAAAGAGUGGCAAACACUAGACUUCAUUAUCCUGUAGAAAGACUAGAAACAAAAUGGUUUAUUCAUCUUCUUCUCAUAGCUACUCUUUUCCAAAUAUACUGAUGCAUUUCCCAACUGUGAUUGGAAGUAUAGAUAACUGAUAAACUCUUGCCUUAUGGCUAGUGCAAAGAAAACAGAACAUAAAGUUCUGCUUUAUUAUAAGAAGAGGGAUGCUGUAACAUUUGAACAAGUAUCAGCCAGAAGCUGAUAAAAAAAAACAAACCUAAAAACAAAAAUUAAAAAAAAAAAGUGAAAUAAUGGAAAAGCUUCUACUUUAACAAUUUAAAACUUUUAAAAAACAAAAACCCUGGAUUGUGUAGAUUUGGUGCCUACUCACUGGAACGUCACCAAAUCUCACUUGUUUAGCUUGGGCCUCACUCAAACAUAACUGGCCUGAAGCUAGUAAGCAAGCCAGCAAAUGUCCUGGCUUGUAAAGAAAUCUGAUCCAACCCUGUAAACCAAACCCAGCCUAAGAGUAGUGGUGAGGGGAACAUAUGGAAAAUUAAUGACAGAUAAUAGAAUGGUGGGACAGCCUUAAAGAAAAGAUUGUUGUUGAGUUUAUGCAACAAUGCCAGAUAAUAGUUUCUGAAUUAAGAAAGUUACAGAGUAUCUCCGCAAUGUUUUUGACUUUGCCAGCACUUAAGCUCUAGAAAGGGCUGCUGUGUUUCUCCCAUCCCAUUGCACAUUCUUAAUUGAUACCUGUAGCUGCUGGUUCAGCUGAAGCAGCACUUUGGGAAGCACAGAGAUCCUGGUCCCCACCUGUUUAAAUAAAUGAGAGCCUCAGGAAGAGGAAUGCAUUGGAAUUUCCUUGGGCUCAAACUGGGCAUAGCAGCAAAGGCCAGGCUGAGAGCUAGAAGCCUGCCCGAGCACUUGGAGGAGGAGAUGAGGAUGGUGUGUGUGCUUUCUUUUUUCCUCUGCAGACCUCCAGGCAUUUUGCAGAGAUAAGGUGCUUUGUGUAUGAUGUCACAGAUGGGGAAAUAGUCCCAGGGAACUCAUCAUUUCACAACCCCUCUCUGGUGAAGAAACUGGAAAUGGAAUGAAUGGAAAGAAUUAUUUUGGCAAAAGUCUAUGUAUUUCUGGAAUAUACAAAUCACGUAUUUGUUUGGGUGAUGGCCUGGGAUGCUCAUUUAGGGUAGACUUUGAAAUGUGACACCUUGCGGUAGCUAUUUUGUACCAAGACAAAAGUGAUCCCUUUUCCCUCAUUCCUCCACUUUUGUUUUAUUGAAAACCAGCUAAAACCCUAACAUUCUUCCUGCAUGGACCCUAAAAUGUCUCUCACUCCUCCCAUGGCUGCAUCCAUCCUGCUGCACAGGCAAAUUGAGGUUGCCCAUUGAGAGACCCUUUAGGCCAAAAGUUGUGCAACUCACCUGUUCAUUUGGGUGUUAAGAAACUCUUGUGCCAUUCAAUAUGCUUAUUUUUUCUUCCUGAACCUGUUGCCUCUGAGCAAACACAGUGGCUCAGGACCCUUCCCAGAAAAGAACUGAGGAGGCUGUGGAGACCAUGCUCACUUCAGAUUCCUGAAAAGCAGGCACCAAGUGUCUCUGAUGUCAGCUCUGAUGCUCAGCUGAGAGGACAAAUGGAUUUUGCCAAUAAAAGCUGUUCAGAGAGCUGCAUGGUCAACUCAUGUCACUUCUGUCACCCUGCUGAAUGCCACGUCACACUGCCAAUGCUUGGGAGCACUGACUGCUGGCUUCUGCAAGACUGGAAGGAAAGGAAGACCUGGACACAUUGACUACAUCUAAACUAUUAAACAAAAUUAGUCAGAGAAUUUUCCUGGAGGCCAGCUGGCGUGAAAUAGCUUGAAUCCACACAGCUAAACUCCCUUGCUCUCCAAAUCAUGGUGGCCACAUCCAAAAUAUCUGUUGGUGCCUGACCUGGGUCAAUACCCAAGAUGUGCUUUGGCAGUGUCUGGAAGAGCAUUAGCAGUCUUGCACCAAAACCAUGCCAGGGACCAGUUUAGUGGGAUGUAUGGUUUCAGGCCCAUGCCUUGCUGGUCUUUUUUAGUUUAAUAUCAGAGGGAAACCUCAGUAAUUCUGCCAGGAGUCAACAGGAAACCCCUUCUGGCCUCAGCAACCAGAAGCUGCUGAGAAGUAUAAUCAUGAUGUUGUUCACCUCCUUCACAUUUGGAUUAUUUUUCUCAUUUUAUUUUUUACCAAAUGAGCACUGAAAAUAUUUGAAAUCUCAUUGAGUAAUAAAAUUGGGUUGCUACCUGCACAAAACUUGUUGGUUUUGAACUCCUAAGAGAUUUUUCAUACAAGCUGAGCUUCUGGAAAAGGCAGCUUCAGCUCUUCUCCCUGAUGAAGGGUCUCCUAUGGCUUUGAGCAAGUUGCUAAGAGCUUGUGUGACCAGUGCCCUGUUUGGAUAUAGGACUAAAAAGCAAUGAGGUGGUAAGAUACAAACAUAUCAUUUGCUUGAGGUCACCUAAGCAUGCUGAACUGAUGUGAACAUAAAACUCCCCUUGAUUUCUGUGGCAAUUUAUUUCAUGUGUCUGGGAAGGCAAUUUAUUUUAAACCCUGCAAAAAGGACAUCGAGUACGUUGUUAUAUCAGGAUCUUUCCAGAG